CUGUGAGCUCGAUGAGUAGGGCGGGACACGUGGUAUCCUGUCUGAAUAUGGGGGGACCAUCCUCCAAGGCUAAAUACUCCUGACUGACCGAUAGUGAACCAGUACCGUGAGGGAAAGGCGAAAAGAACCCCGGCGAGGGGAGUGAAAAAGAACCUGAAACCGUGUACGUACAAGCAGUGGGAGCACGCUUAGGCGUGUGACUGCGUACCUUUUGUAUAAUGGGUCAGCGACUUAUAUUCUGUAGCAAGGUUAACCGAAUAGGGGAGCCGAAGGGAAACCGAGUCUUAACUGGGCGUUAAGUUGCAGGGUAUAGACCCGAAACCCGGUGAUCUAGCCAUGGGCAGGUUGAAGGUUGGGUAACACUAACUGGAGGACCGAACCGACUAAUGUUGAAAAAUUAGCGGAUGACUUGUGGCUGGGGGUGAAAGGCCAAUCAAACCGGGAGAUAGCUGGUUCUCCCCGAAAGCUAUUUAGGUAGCGCCUCGUGAAUUCAUCUCCGGGGGUAGAGCACUGUUUCGGCAAGGGGGUCAUCCCGACUUACCAACCCGAUGCAAACUGCGAAUACCGGAGAAUGUUAUCACGGGAGACACACGGCGGGUGCUAACGUCCGUCGUGAAGAGGGAAACAACCCAGACCGCCAGCUAAGGUCCCAAAGUCAUGGUUAAGUGGGAAACGAUGUGGGAAGGCCCAGACAGCCAGGAUGUUGGCUUAGAAGCAGCCAUCAUUUAAAGAAAGCGUAAUAGCUCACUGGUCGAGUCGGCCUGCGCGGAAGAUGUAACGGGGCUAAACCAUGCACCGAAGCUGCGGCAGCGACGCUUAUGCGUUGUUGGGUAGGGGAGCGUUCUGUAAGCCUGUGAAGGUGUGCUGUGAGGCAUGCUGGAGGUAUCAGAAGUGCGAAUGCUGACAUAAGUAACGAUAAAGCGGGUGAAAAGCCCGCUCGCCGGAAGACCAAGGGUUCCUGUCCAACGUUAAUCGGGGCAGGGUGAGUCGACCCCUAAGGCGAGGCCGAAAGGCGUAGUCGAUGGGAAACAGGUUAAUAUUCCUGUACUUGGUGUUACUGCGAAGGGGGGACGGAGAAGGCUAUGUUGGCCGGGCGACGGUUGUCCCGGUUUAAGCGUGUAGGCUGGUUUUCCAGGCAAAUCCGGAAAAUCAAGGCUGAGGCGUGAUGACGAGGCACUACGGUGCUGAAGCAACAAAUGCCCUGCUUCCAGGAAAAGCCUCUAAGCAUCAGGUAA
rnacentral:rRNA from 1 species